rnacentral:rRNA from 1 species
CAAUAAGCGGAGGAAAAGAAACCAACAGGGAUUGCUCUAGUAACGGCGAGUGAAGCAGCAAUAGCUCAAAUUUGAAAUCUGGCGUCUUCGACGUCCGAGUUGUAAUUUGUAGAGGAUGCUUCUGAGUAACCACCGACCUAAGUUCCUUGGAACAGGACGUCAUAGAGGGUGAGAAUCCCGUAUGCGGUCGGAAAGGUGCUCUAUACGUAGCUCCUUCGACGAGUCGAGUUGUUUGGGAAUGCAGCUCUAAAUGGGAGGUAAAUUUCUUCCAAAGCUAAAUAUUGGCCAGAGACCGAUAGCGCACAAGUAGAGUGAUCGAAAGAUGAAAAGCACUUUGGAAAGAGAGUUAAAAAGCACGUGAAAUUGUUAAAAGGGAAGGGAUUGCAACCGGACUUGCUCGCGGUGUUCCGCCGGUCUUCUGACCGGUCUACUCGCCGCGUUGCAGGCCAGCAUCGUCUGGUGCCGCUGGAUAAGACUUGAGGAAUGUAGCUCCCUCGGGAGUGUUAUAGCCUCUUGUGAUU